rnacentral:rRNA from 1 species
UACGGAGGGUGCAAGCGUUGUUCGGAAUUACUGGGCGUAAAGCGCGUGUAGGCGGUUUCUUCAGUCUGGUGUGAAAGCCCGGGGCUCACCCCCGGAAGUGCAUCGGAUACUGGGAGACUUGAGUACCGGAGAGGAGGGUGGAAUUCCUGGUGUAGCGGUGAAAUGCGUAGAUAUCAGGAGGAACACCGGUGGCGAAGGCGGCCCUCUGGACGGAUACUGACGCUGAGACGCGAAAGCGUGGGGAGCAAACAGG